UGCUGUAUAAAAGGUGGCCUUCGGGCUGUCGUUUGGGGAUGAGUCUGCGUCCUAUUAGUUAGUUGGUGAGGUAAUGGCUCACCAAGGCGAUGAUAGGUAGGCGGCCUUAACGGGUGGUCGCCCACACUGGGAUUGAGAUACGGCCCAGACUCCUACGGGAGGCAGCAGUCGAGAAUAGUCUACAAUGGACGAAAGUCUGAUAGUGCGACGCCGCGUGAACGAAGACUCCCUAACAGGGUGUAAAGUUCUUUUAUAUGUGAGCAAUGGUUUGUAUAUUAAUAGUAUGCAGACAGAGAUAUUAGCAUAUGAAUAAGCAACGGCUAACUCCGUGCCAGCAGCCGCGGUAACACGGGGGUUGCAAGCGUUGUCCGGAAUUACUAGGCGUAAAGGGCAGGUAGGCGGAUCAGUAAGUUUGAUGUCAAAUCCAUCGGCUCACCCGAUGAUCGGCAUCAGAUACUGCUGAUCUGGAGUACGGUUGAGGAAGACAGAAUUCCUGGUGUAGCGGUGGAAUGCGCAGAGAUCAGGAGGAAUACCAAAUGCGAAGGCAGUCUUCUAGGCCGUUAUUGACGCUAAACUGCGAAGGUGUGGGGAUCAAACAGGAUUAGAUACCCUGGUAGUCCACGCAGUAAACGAUGAUUACUAGCUGUUUGCGAUAUACCGUAAGCGGCCGAGCGAAAGCAUUAAGUAAUCCACCCGGGGAGUACGUUCGCAAGAAUGAAACUCAAAGGAAUUGACGGGGGCCCGCACAAGCGGAGGAACAUGUGGUUUAAUUCGAUGAUACGCGAGGAACCUUACCCGGGCUUGAAAUGCAUCUGACCGAAGUGGAAACACUUUUUCUAGCAAUAGCAGAUGUGUAGGUGCUGCAUGGUUGUCGUCAGCUCGUGCCGUGAGGUGUCGGCUUAAGUGCCAUAACGAGCGCAACCCCCGCCGUUAGUUGCCAUCAGGUUAUGCUGGGAACUCUAGCGGGACUGCCACCGUAAGGUGUGAGGAAGGUGGGGAUGACGUCAAAUCAGCACGGCCCUUAUGUCCGGGGCGACACACGUGUUACAAUGGGCGGUACAGAGGGAAGCUACCCGGUGACGGGAUGCUAAUCUUUAAAACCGUUCUCAGUUCGGAUCGGAGUCUGUAACUCGACUCCGUGAAGCUGGAUUCGCUAGUAAUCGCGCAUCAGCCAUGGCGCGGUGAAUAAGUUCCCGGGCCUUGCACACACCGCCCGUCAAG
rnacentral:rRNA from 1 species